UGUCACAACACAGGAAGGGACAGGCUUGGCAGGGCAGGAGAAGGGCGAGAAGUGACAGGCCGUCCUGACAGCAAGGGCUCCAGGUAACACCCGGAGGCUAGGCUGAGGGCGGCUCCAAGCCGGCCCUUCCCUCACUGCAGCCCACGGCUUUACCAAUGCUCACAGCUUCAGGCUCUUCAAGACAAAGAUUUACCUUUGGUAUCAUCUGCUACCUUUUAUCAAAUUAUUUUUUAUCUAAAUAAUCAUUUCUUCCCUAGAAACAGGAGGGGAAAGUGGUAAUAAGCCAGAGAAACUUACAGGCCCAAAACAACAACUCAACAAAGGUGUCUAAAAAGAGUGGAGGCCAGGUGCUUCAAAGCUGUUUCAGGCGCAGGACAAAUGAGGGGAACGGCACAGGUUCCCCUCAGUCCUGGUUCAUUUCCUGCAGGGAAACCUCCAUCCCCGCCAAAGACCACUCUCCUCCAUCAACCUUCUCAGAAGACAGCAGAGAAGCUGGACUGAUUACAGCUCAGCAAAUCCAAAACUGCUCCAUACCAAACCUUAGCUGUCCUCAGCAGGAAAAUCCAACACUGACACACCAUCGAAACUUGGUUCUGAAACACAUCCCAAAACCAGGGUGAUC
ensembl:lncRNA novel transcript, antisense to CUX1